rnacentral:misc_RNA from 1 species
CAGUACAAUGGAGAUGCCCAGGGCUGUCGCUGACCUUUGUGGGUCGUGCACGCCCAAAGUGCUCUCUCUCACAUCCAUCUCACCCCUUUGUGCAUCACCGCGUGGGCCCCCUUUCGGCGCGACGGGGCCCCUCGCGGGGCCCCCUGCCGGAACCCAAACUCUGAACCAACUUGCAGCCUGAGUAGAAAAGCAAAUAGUCA